rnacentral:rRNA from 1 species
UACGUAUGGUCCGAGCGUUGUCCGGAGUUACUGGGCGUAAAGCGCGCGCAGGCGGCCCGCGAGGUGUCACGUGAAAGCCCCGGGCUCAACUCGGGAGGGUCGUGGCAAACCGGCGGGCUUGAGGCCGGUAGAGGUGGGUGGAACUCCUGGUGGAGUGGUGAAAUGCGUAGAGAUCAGGAAGAACACCCGUGGCGAAGGCGGCCCACUGGGCCGGUACUGACGCUGAGGCGCGAAGGCGUGGGGAGCGAACAGG